UACCUGGUUGAUCCUGCCAGUAGUCAUAUGCUUGUCUCAAAGAUUAAGCCAUGCAAGUCUAAGUACGAGCUCUCGUACAGUGAAACUGCGAAUGGCUCAUUAAAUCAGUUAUGGUUCAUUUGAUCGUACAGUUUACUUGGAUAACUGUGGUAAUUCUAGAGCUAAUACAUGCGAGAAGCGCCGACCUCGCGGGAGGCGUGCAUUUAUCAGACCAAAAACCGGCCGCGUCUUCGGGCGCGUUCGCCUUGGUGACUCUGGAUAACUUUGCGGAUCGCACGGUCUAGCACCGGCGACGGAUCAUUCAAGUGUCUGCCCUAUCAACUUUCGUCGGUACGGUAUUUGCCUACCGAGGUUCUUACGGGUGACGGGGAAUCAGGGUUCGAUUCCGGAGAGGGAGCCUGAGAAACGGCUACCACAUCCAAGGAAGGCAGCAGGCGCGCAAAUUACCCAUUCCCGACGCGGGGAGGUAGUGACGAAAAAUAACAAUGCAGGACUCGUUCGAGGCCCUGUAAUUGGAAUGAGUACACUUUAAAAGCUUUAACGAGUAUCCAUUGGAGGGCAAGUCUGGUGCCAGCAGCCGCGGUAAUUCCAGCUCCAAAAGUUAUAUUUAAGUUGUUGCGGUUAAAAGCUCGUAGUUGGAUUUUGGGG
rnacentral:ncRNA from 1 species